rnacentral:rRNA from 1 species
AUUGAACGCUGGCGGCAGGCCUAACACAUGCAAGUCGAACGAGUGGCGGACGGGUGGGUAAUGUCUGGGAAACUUCGUGAUGGAGGGGGAGCACUACUGGAAACGGUAACUAAUACCGCAUACCAUCUGCUGUGUCCAGAUGGGAUUAGAUAGUAGUUGGGGUAAAGGCUCCCCCAGGCGACGAUCCCUAGCGGGUCUGAGAGGAUGACCAGCAAUACUGGAACUGAGACCCGGUCCAGACUCCUACGGUAGGCUGCAGUGGGGAAUAUUGGACAAGUGGCGCAAGCCUGAUGCAGCCAUGCCGCGUGGAUGAAGAAGGCCUUCGGUUUGUAAAGUACGUUCAGCGGGGAGGCGUUACCCGCAGAAGAAGCACCGGCUAACUCCGGGCCAGCAGCCGCGGUAAUAC